rnacentral:rRNA from 1 species
CCGGCGCACGGGUGAGUAACGCGUAUGCAACUUGCCUAUCAGAGGGGGAUAACCCGGCGAAAGUCGGACUAAUACCGCAUGAAGCAGGGGCCCCGCAUGGGGAUAUUUGCUAAAGAUUCAUCGCUGAUAGAUAGGCAUGCGUUCCAUUAGGCAGUUGACGGGGUAACGGCCCACCAAACCGACGAUGGAUAGGGGUUCUGAGAGGAAGGUCCCCCACAUUGGUACUGAGACACGGACCAA